UGCUCUGAUGAUCCCACUAAUAACAGGAAGUGCCAUCAAAAGCGAUAACUGACGAAAGUGCACCAGAUGCUGUUG